rnacentral:rRNA from 1 species
AUUGAACGCUGGCGGCAGGCUUAACACAUGCAAGUCGAACGAGUGGCGGACGGGUGAGUAAUGCUUGGGAAUCUAGCUUAUGGAGGGGGAUAACUACGGGAAACUGUAGCUAAUACCGCGUACCAUAGGAUGAGCCCAAGUGGGAUUAGGUAGUUGGUGAGGUAAAGGCUCACCAAGCCGACGAUCUCGAGCUGGUCUGAGAGGAUGACCAGCCAAACUGGGAAUGAGACACGGCCCAGACUCCUAAGGGAGGCAGCAGGGGGGAAUAUUGCGCAAUGGGGGCAAGCUGAUGCAGCCAUGCCGCGGUUGUGAAGAAGGCCUUCGGGUUGUAAAGCACUUUCAGCGAGGAGGCGUUACUCGCAGCAGAAGGACCGGCCAACUCCGUGCCCGCCGCCGCGGUAAUAC